rnacentral:rRNA from 1 species
AUUGCAGUCUGCAACUCGACUGCAUGAAGCUGGAAUCGCUAGUAAUCGCGAAUCAGCAUGUCGCGGUGAAUACGUUCCCGGGUCUUGUACACACCGCCCGUCACACCAUGGGAGUCGGAAAUGCCCGAAGCCAGUGACCCAACCUUUAAGGAGGGAGCUGUCGAAGGCAGGUCUGGUAACUGGGGUGAAGUCGUAACAAGGUAGC